UCCGGGGGGUGCAAGCGUUACUCGGAAUCAUUGGGCGUAAAGGGCGCGUAGGCGGCCUGGUAAGUCAGAUGUGAAAGCCCGGGGCUCAACCCCGGAAGUGCAUUUGAUACUGCUGGGCUUGAGUAUGGGAGAGGGAAGUGGAAUUCCUGGUGUAGAGGUGAAAUUCGUAGAGAUCAGGAGGAACACCGGUGGCGAAGGCGACUUCCUGGACCAAUACUGACGAUGAGGCGCGAAGGAGUGGGGAGCAAACAGG
rnacentral:rRNA from 1 species